rnacentral:rRNA from 1 species
CCUACGGGAGGCAGCAGUAGGGAAUCUUCCACAAUGGGCGAAAGCCUGAUGGAGCAACGCCGCGUGGGUGAAGAAGGUCUUCGGAUCGUAAAACCCUGUUGUUCGAGAAGAAAGUGCGUGAGAGUAACUGUUCACGUUUCGACGGUAUCUAACCAGAAAGCCACGGCUAACUACGUGCCAGCAGCCGCGGUAAUACGUAGGUGGCAAGCGUUAGCCGGAUUUAUUGGGCUUAAAGGGAACGCAGGCGGUCUUUUAAGUCUGAUGGGAAAGCCUUCGGCUUAACCGGAGUAGUGCAUUGGAAACUGGGAGACUUGAGUGCAGAAGAGGAGAGUGGAACGCCAUGUGUAGCGGUGAAAUGCGUAGAUAUAUGGAAGAACACCAGUGGCGAAAGCGGCUCUCUGGUCUGUAACUGACGCUGAGGUUCGAAAGCGUGGGUAGCAAACAGGAUUAGAUACCCUAGUAGUC